ACGGGAGGCAGCAGUGGGGAAUAUUGGGCAAUGGGCGAAAGCCUGACCCAGCAACGCCGCGUGAAGGAAGAGGGUUUUCGGAUUGCAAACUUCUUUUAUCAGGGACGAAGAAAGUGACGGUACCUGAUGAAUAAGCCACGGCUAACUACGUGCCAGCAGCCGCGGUAAUACGUAGGUGGCAAGCGUUAUCCGGAUUUACAGGGUGUAAAGGGCGCGUAGGCGGGGAUGCAAGUCAGGUGUGAAAUCCAUGGGCUUAACCCAUGAACUGCACUUGAAACUGUAUCUCUUGAGUGUCGGAGAGGUAGACGGAAUUCCUAGUGUAGCGGUGAAAUGCGUAGAUAUUAGGAGGAACACCAGUGGCGAAGGCGGUCUACUGGACGAUAACUGACGCUGAGGCGCGAAAGCGUGGAGAGCAAACAGGAUUAGAUACCCUGGUA
rnacentral:rRNA from 1 species